rnacentral:lncRNA from 1 species
GAAGAUAUCAUCGUCUUCGACUUAAAGACAUCUUCGUUAGCCUUAGAUUGUGACAUUUUACAAAUUGCGCCAUCACAUUCACGAAAAAGUUCGCAAUACAGCACUUGCAUUCAACCAAGUAGACCAAUAUCAUCACAUGCAUCAGCUGUUACUGGUUUAACUAGUAAAUGAGACAUAUAUUUUUUUAUAAUGGAGUCCCUGUUCAAAUACUUUUACAAGAAGCUGCAUUUUGUAUGAACAUACUGCACGCUAAUGCACUGCAAACAAAG